GACAGGUGGUGCAUGGUUGUCGUCAGCUCGUGUCGUGAGAUGUUGGGUUAAGUCCCGCAACGAGCGCAACCCUCGACCUUAGUUGCCAGCAUUCAGUUGGGCACUCUAAGGUGACUGCCGGCUAAAAGUCGGAGGAAGGUGGGGAUGACGUCAAAUCAUCAUGCCCCUUAUGACCUGGGCUACACACGUGCUACAAUGGGCGGUACAAAGGGUCGCGAACCCGCGAGGGGGAGCCAAUCCCAAAAAGCCGCUCUCAGUUCGGAUUGCAGGCUGCAACUCGCCUGCAUGAAGCCGGAAUCGCUAGUAAUCGCGGAUCAGCAUGCCGCGGUGAAUACGUUCCCGGGCCUU
rnacentral:rRNA from 1 species